rnacentral:rRNA from 1 species
AGUGAACGCUGGCGGUAGGCCUAACACAUGCAAGUCGAACGGCAGCACAGUAAGAGCUUGCUCUUACGGGUGGCGAGUGGCGGACGGGUGAGGAAUACAUCGGAAUCUACUUUUUCGUGGGGGAUAACGUAGGGAAACUUACGCUAAUACCGCAUACGACCUACGGGUGAAAGCAGGGGAUCUUCGGACCUUGCGCGAUUGAAUGAGCCGAUGUCGGAUUAGCUAGUUGGCGGGGUAAAGGCCCACCAAGGCGACGAUCCGUAGCUGGUCUGAGAGGAUGAUCAGCCACACUGGAACUGAGACACGGUCCAGACUCCUACGGGAGGCAGCAGUGGGGAAUAUUGGACAAUGGGCGCAAGCCUGAUCCAGCCAUACCGCGUGGGUGAAGAAGGCCUUCGGGUUGUAAAGCCCUUUUGUUGAGAAAGAAAAGCAGCAGGUUAAUACCCCGCUGUUCUGACGGUGCCCAAAGAAUAAGCACCGGCUAACUUCGUG